rnacentral:rRNA from 1 species
UACAGAGGUCCCAAGCGUUGUUCGGAUUCACUGGGCGUAAAGGGUGCGUAGGUGGUGGGGUAAGUUUGGUGUGAAAUCUCCGAGCUCAACUCGGAAAUGGCAUUGAAUACUGGAGGACUAGAGUACCGGAGAGGAAACUGGAAUUUACGGUGUAGCAAUGAAAUGCGUAGAGAUCGUAAGGAAGACCAAUGACGAAAGCGAGUUUCUGGACGGUAACUGACGCUGAAGCACGAAGGCCAGGGGAACAAACGGG